GACGAACGCUGGCGGCGUGCUUAACACAUGCAAGUCGAACGGAAAGGCCCUGCUUUUGUGGGGUGCUCGAGUGGCGAACGGGUGAGUAACACGUGAGUAACCUGCCCUUGACUUUGGGAUAACUUCAGGAAACUGGGGCUACUACCGGAUAGGAGCUCCUGCUGCAUGGUGGGGGUUGGAAAGUUUCGGCGGAGGUGGAUGGACUCGCGGCUUAUCAGCUUGUUGGUGGGGUAGUGGCUUACCAAGUCUUUGGCGGGUGGCCGGCCUGGGAGGGUGACCGGCCACAUUGGGACUGAGAUACGGCCCAGACUCCUACGGGAGGCAGCAGUCGGGAAUAUUGCACAAUGGGCGCAAGCCUGAUGCAGCAGCGCCGCGUGCGGGAUGACGGCCUUCGGGUUGUAAACCGCUUUCGCCUGUGACGAAGCGUUAGUGACGGUAAUGGGUAAAGAAGCACCGGCUAACUACGUG
rnacentral:rRNA from 1 species